CUUUGCAAUGGUGAUUUGCAGGAAAACAGUGCAGGAUGCUGUGAUUCGUUUCUUGUGGUCGGAGGUUAUGUUUGAUGCCUAUAUUUAUCAAAGAUUUAAUGCACAUUAUGGAGAAAGUGUUUUGUCACGAAGUGUGUUUGAAUGGGCACAAAAGUUCAAAGAAGAUCGCACAAGUGUUAUGAAAAAACAGCUGGACGCCCGUCCACAUCCACGAUGACAACAUUGAACGUGCUCAUGAACUUAUGCUCUAUGGAAUAGACGAGUGACAGUGGAUAAUGUGGCAAAUCAUUUGCAAAUCAGCCACGGCUCUGCUUAUGCAAUAGUACACGACAGAUUUGGAUUUUAAAAAGUUUGUGCGAGAUGGAUGCCGAAAAAGCUGAUGAAAAGGUGAAGACGACGAUGCAUUCGUGGUUCGCAGCUCAGCCCAAAACAUUUUUUAAUGAGAAAAUACGAAGGUCCUUCGGCAAAUGGACAAAGUGUAUACAGAAAUCGAGUGAUUAUGUCAAAAAAUGAUGUAUGUCUUUUUUGACAAUUGCUUAAAACAAAUUCUACACCGACAGAGCGGGUAACUUUUUACUCACCCUCGCUGUUAAUCUAGAGGCUGGAGUACAAAGAAGUGGCACAAUGAUGUGGGCUGAUGACAUUUAUAAUUAUCAAGGAAUCACCCCUACAUUCGCUCAGAAUUUUAAUGAAACUGUCCCUUGGGAAGGAAGAACUGAUACCUUGAUAUCACGGUUUGUACAUCCUAUAUAUACGACAAAUUUUAGAACAUUAUAUAACGAAGAACCAGAUCGUCGUGGCCAUGUGAUGUGAAUAAAAGGACUUGAAUUUGAUGAUAUUUUUAUAAUGUUAGAUAACAUAACUAAGUAUCUUCGCAGUAAGAUAGGAUGACAUG